rnacentral:rRNA from 1 species
ACGCACGCUGGCGGCGUGCUUAACACAUGCAAGUCGAACGAAGAGCGAUGGAAGCUUGCUUCUAUCAAUCUUAGUGGCGAACGGGUGAGUAACGCGUAAUCAACCUGCCCUUCAGAGGGGGACAACAGUUGGAAACGACUGCUAAUACCGCAUACGAUCUAAUCUCGGCAUCGAGGAUAGAUGAAAGGUGGCCUCUACAUGUAAGCUAUCACUGAAGGAGGGGAUUGCGUCUGAUUAGCUAGUUGGAGGGGUAACGGCCCACCAAGGCGAUGAUCAGUAGCCGGUCUGAGAGGAUGAACGGCCACAUUGGGACUGAGACACGGCCCAGACUCCUACGGGAGGCAGCAGUGGGGAAUCUUCCGCAAUGGACGAAAGUCUGACGGAGCAACGCCGCGUGAGUGAUGACGGCCUUCGGGUUGUAAAGCUCUGUUAAUCGGGACGAAAGGCCUUCUUGCGAAUAGUGAGAAGGAUUGACGGUACCGGAAUAGAAAGCCACGGCUAACUACGUG